UAUAAAAACUGGAGAUCUGGUGUUUAAGGGUCAAAGGGGGAGGAGCCUAAAGCAGGUAAAUCAGAAAAUGUUUGCAGCUGCUGCAGAGGGUUCCUGUGGAAGAAGAGGAAAGAGACGGAAGAAGUUAAGAAAUGUGACGGAAAAGUUCAGCAGAAAGAGACUGAAAGGGAAUCUGAUGUUUCAUUCAUGGCUUUGCCCGCCGGCCUGAAGAGUUCUCCUGCGAGCGCUGAAGGAGGCGAGAUGUGGCGUUUGUUUCAAACCGAGGAGCGCCGGCUCCAAAAGGAAUCUUCAGGUUGGCGUCACCGUCAUCCCGUCGGCCUCAAAGGGAGGACAAAAAGGGGCUUUCAGGGUGGGGAGCUCAGGAAUGUGGGACUUGUUACCCCCCAAGUGCACUGGAUUGUGUAUAAGUUGGAGAAUAAAUCCUUUUUUGGUCAUUUUUGAGCUGAAACUCCUAAAGUGCUAAACAAGAAUAAAGUUUUCUAAUGAA